rnacentral:lncRNA from 1 species
GUGUCAACCAACACAGAUGUUUUUCUUUCUUCAUAUAAUGAAGAUCAGGAAUCCAAACUUAUUUGAAAAGCUGAAAAGACACCAUUAAUCCCACUGGAAUAGCAGGUUUUGCAGCAAUUGUUGCACAUGGAUUAACAAAUUGAAGAUCAGGGGAAAUAUUAAAAUGUCCCUUCACCUGAUCCACAUGUGUAUGGCAGCCCAAGGCUUUGUAAUGGGAGCAAUGACUCCUGGUAUGGGCUAUUCCCUAUAUUGGGAAUUCUGGGCAAAACCUAAGCCUUAG